rnacentral:rRNA from 1 species
UGGGGAAUAUUGCACAAUGGGGGAAACCCUGAUGCAGCAACGCCGCGUGAGUGAAGAAGUAUUUCGGUAUGUAAAGCUCUAUCAGCAGGGAAGAAGAAAGACGGUACCUGACUAAGAAGCCCCGGCUAACUACGUGCCAGCAGCCGCGGUAAUACGUAGGGGGCAAGCGUUAUCCGGAUUUACUGGGUGUAAAGGGAGCGUAGACGGUUAUGUAAGUCUGGAGUGAAAGCCCGGGGCCCAACCCCGGGACUGCUUUGGAAACUGUGUAACUGGAGUACAGGAGGGGCAGGCGGAAUUCCUGGUGUAGCGGUGAAAUGCGUAGAUAUCAGGAGGAACACCAGUGGCGAAGGCGGCUUACUGGACUGUAACUGACGUUGAGGCUCGAAAGCGUGAGGAGCAAACAGG